rnacentral:rRNA from 1 species
GUGAGGAAUAUUGGUCAAUGGACGAGAGUCUGAACCAGCCAAGUCGCGUGAAGGAAGACGGUUCUAUGAAUUGUAAACUUCUUUUGUGCAGGAAUAAAGUGGGUUACGUGUAACCUUUUGUAUGUACUGUACGAAUAAGGAUCGGCUAACUCCGUGCCAGCAGCCGCGGUAAUACGGUGGAUCCGAGCGUUAUCCGGAUUUAUUGGGUUUAAAGGGUGCGUAGGUGGAUUGAUAAGUCAGCGGUGAAAGUUUGCAGCUUAACUGUAAAAUUGACGUUGAAACUGUCGGUCUUGAGUGCAAAUGAGGUAGGCGGAAUGUGUUGUGUAGCGGUGAAAUGCUUAGAUAUAACACAGAACUCCGAUUGCGAAGGCAGCUUACUGGGAUGCAACUGACACUGAUGCACGAAAGCGUGGGUAUCAAACAGGAUUAGAAACCCCAGUAGUCC